rnacentral:misc_RNA from 1 species
GAUGAAGAACGUAGCGAAACGCGAUAGGUAAUGUGAAUUGCAGAAUUCAGUGAAUCAUCGAAUCUUUGAACGCACAUUGCGCCCCUUGGUAUUCCAUGGGGCAUGCCUGUUCGAGCGUCAUUUGUACCUUCAAGCUUUGCUUGGUGUUGGGUGUUUGUCUCGCCUUUGCGUGUAGACUCGCCUUAAAAUAAUUGGCAGCCGGCGUAUUGAUUUCGGAGCGCAGUACAUCUCGCGCUUUGCACUCAUAACGACAGCGUCCAAAAGUACAUUUUACACUCUUGACCUCGGAUCAGGUAGGGAUACCCGCUGAACUUAAGCAUAUCAAUAAGCGGAGGA